CAGCAGCCGCGGUAAUACGAAGGGUGCAAGCGUUAAUCGGAAUUACUUGGCGUAAAGAGCUCGUAGGCGGUUUGUCGCGUCUGCCGUGAAAGUCCGGGGCUCAACCCCGGAUCUGCGGUGGGUACGGGCAGACUAGAGUGAUGUAGGGGAGACUGGAAUUCCUGGUGUAGCGGUGAAAUGCGCAGAUAUCAGGAGGAACACCGAUGGCGAAGGCAGGUCUCUGGGCAUUAACUGACGCUGAGGAGCGAAAGCAUGGGGAGCGAACAGGAUUAGAUACCCCUGUAGUCCCUGUCUCUUAUAC
rnacentral:rRNA from 1 species